GAAGUCACCAAUUUGUAUACAGUACCAUGGAAUGAACUGAAGAGUAAUCUCCAGAAAUUUCGUGAAUUCUGCUUCUUCCUCUUGCGGCCAUGGCUUCUCUGCAAUUUCACUUCUGCGUCCACUUCCUCUGUCCAAGACAACGUCUUCGCUGCUCCAAAAUCCUUUCUCCUCCUCGCCGGCGGCAACCGUCGUUUCCAUUUCCCGGGAAAAUCAAGCUUCUCGCUUUCCCGGAAAGUUUCGGACCCAGAAACGAAGCUUGUUCCUUUCCCUGCUUCGCCGGCACCGAUGCUCAGGAUUUGGUUGUCGGAGGCGAAGAGGAAGGAGCUGUUAAAGAGGAACGACCUCCUUUCGAUAUCAAUCUCGCCGUAAUCCUCGCCGGUUUCGCUUUCGAGGCCUACACUACUCCUCCAGAAAAUAUAGGGAAGCGAGAGGUUGAUGCUGCUGGUUGUAAAACUGUGUACCUCUCUGAGUCAUUUGUGAGGGAGAUAUACGAUGGGCAAUUGUUCAUAAAGCUGAAAAAAGGAUUCAACUUUCCUGCCUUGGAUCCAUGGGGAACUAGCGAUCCUUAUGUUGUUAUGGAUUUGGGUGGUCAAGUUGCCAAGAGCAAAAUCAAAUGGGGGACAAAAGAGCCAAAAUGGAAUGAGGACUUCAUUUUUAAUAUCAAGCUGUCUCCUGCCAAAAAUCUUCAGGUUGCAGCAUGGGAUGCGAAUCUUGUUACUCCACAUAAACGGAUGGGUAAUGCUGACGUUAUUCUGGAAUCUGUAUCUGAUGGGAGCUUGCAUGAGGUGCUCAUCGAAUUGGAAGGAAUUGGAGGUGGUGGGAAAAUAGAGCUAGAGAUUAGGUACAAGGGAUUUAAGGAAAUUGAAGAAGAAAAGAAGUGGUGGAAGAUCCCUUUCAUUUCAGAAUUCCUCCGAAGAAAUGAAUUUGAGUCUGUUCUGAGAAAGUUUGCUGACUCUGACGCUGUCCCAGCUCGGCAAUUUGUAGAGUAUGCUUUCGGGCAGUUAAAGUCAUUGAAUGAUGGCCCUCUUAAGAAUGCUAAACUUUUAAGCAAUAAUAAAGAUGGCUCAAAAGGUGAAGACAAUUCUGAUGAUUAUUCUCCAGUAAUGGAUGUGCAAUCUGGUAGUAAUAGUUCAGAUGAUACACCGGAUCAGGAGGGCAGUUCUGAUAUAAGCAGUUCAGGGAAGUUUAGUGAGGACAAAGAUAGCGAUGUCAAUGGUGAUGGCCACACCAAGAAAUUGGAGGAUGACAAAGAUGGAUCAGAAAAACAUUUCUGGAGCAAUUUUGCUAAUGUGGUCAAUCAAAAUAUAGCCCAGAAACUUGGUCUUCCGUCACCUGAAAAAUUUAAAUGGGAUGGAGCGGAAAUUCUGGAAAAUAUUGGUCUGCAGUCACGGAAAAUUGCAGAAGCAAGUUAUAUUGAAUCAGGGCUUGCAGCUCCAAAUAUUCAGGAAGUUGAUGAUAAAAGUGAAGGUGGCCAACAAUCGAUUAGUACCACUAAACCUUCCCUUCCUGACAUAAAGAAGGCAACACAAGAGUUACUGCAGCAAACCGAUAACGUCUUAGGCGCAUUAAUGGUUUUAAAAGCUGCAGUGCCACAAUUGAGCAACAGUAGACUUGGUUCAGGAAAAAAAGAUGUCUUUGGUUCCUCUAAGAGCGAAAAACUAUCUGGGCUAGUGAAUGGUGAUGCAUUAGAUGAGAAGAAAGCUGAGGAAAUGAAAGCACUCUUUAAAAGUGCAGAAAGUGCCAUGGAGGCAUGGGCAAUGCUUGCCACUGCACUGGGGCAUCCAAGCUUUAUAAAAUCAGAAUUUGAGAAAAUAUGUUUCCUAGACAAUGACAUCACUGACACACAGGUGGCAAUUUGGCGUGAUUCAAUGAGGAAAAGAUUGGUUAUUGCUUUCAGAGGAACUGAACAAACAAAAUGGAAAGAUUUGCAGACUGAUCUGAUGCUAGUUCCUGCUGGUCUGAAUCCUGAAAGAAUUGGUGGAGACUUCAAGCAAGAAGUGCAGGUUCAUAGUGGAUUUCUGAGUGCGUAUGAUUCAGUAAGGAUAAGGAUCAUUUCUCUGCUGAAACUGGCAAUUGGCUACAUAGACAAUGUUGCUGAGCCUCCAUAUAAGUGGCAUGUUUAUGUGACUGGCCAUAGCUUGGGUGGCGCACUGGCUACACUAUUGGCUCUUGAGCUUGCAUCAAGUCAAUUAGCUAAGCAAGGAACUAUCACUGUUACAAUGUAUAACUUUGGAUCACCUAGAGUGGGCAACAAAAGAUUUGCCGAUGUAUAUAAUCAGAAAGUGAAGGACAGCUGGAGAGUUGUAAACCAUAGAGACAUAAUUCCCACCGUCCCUCGCUUGAUGGGUUACUGCCAUGUGGCACAACCUGUUUAUCUAGGUGCUGGAGGUUUAAGAGACACCUUGGAGAGCAUGGAGCUUCAGAAAGAUGGUUACCAUGGUGAUGUGAUUGGGGAAGCCACACCAGAUAUCCUUGUUAGUGAAUUUAUGAAAGGUGAGAAGGAGCUCAUUGAGAAGAUACUGCAAACGGAAAUAAGCAUAUUCAACGCUAUACGUGAUGGGAGUGCCCUUAUGCAACACAUGGAGGACUUCUACUACAUUACAUUGCUAGAGAGUGUGAAAUCAUAUUACCAAACUGUUGAAAUGCUUGAAGGCGGUGUAAAGACCACAGUUGAAUCAACACGCCAGGUCUGAGGUUCAUCUGAUCAUUUGGAGUCUGGCUGUUACGGCAUCCGUACUGUAUAUGGGUUCUCUCUCACUGGUCUAGGAAAAUAGUUGUACAGCUCAGGAGGAAAAAAAAAUACAUUUUUCUGUUUAUUAGUUGUCCGGACAACAGCAAGAGGACGAUAUGAUCUGCGUAUGAAUCCUUUCGACAGAAACAUAUAUACAGAUUUCAGGAGGAUGAAAAAGGGUUUGGGUAUAUAAAACUUCACUGUGGAAGUUCUCAAAUAGUUUUAAAGUAAACCAUGCAGGAAAACAUAGGUUGUGGAUCAGAAGGAUCAUGAGCAUCUCCAUGUAUGCAUGAGCUUUUUAACAGUGCAGCUACAGUGGAAGUGGAAGUUUCUAGUAGAACGAGAUGAAGACGUCUUCUUGUUCUUCUUCUUCCCGGUGCUGUCAUUGCUGAUGAUUCGCAAGCUCUGUCUCAGUA